UUUCAGGUAUAACAGACGCCCGCCUCAACCUAGCUCAGUCUCUGAGCAAACUGUCCUCAAUGUACCCCGGAAGACUGAACGGCAUGCUACAGCAAGGAUUAGGAGACGCUGAACGACAGUGUAUACUCAAGUACUUGCAAGCGGCCAAUGUGCAGAUCGCAUGAGGCUUUACAUGUGCCUCUACCAGUUAUCGCAGAUCAAAGGAGGGUUUACAUGUGCCUCUAACAUCUUAUUGGUGAAUUAAAGACUUUGAAAUUAAAAGUGUAAAGAAUUACAGGAAAGUUUACGGACUAAUUACAGAUUGAAGGAGGGUUUACAUGUGCCUCUACCAAUUUAUUGCAGAUCAAAGGAUGGUUUACAUGUGCCUCUAACAUCUUAUUGGUGAAUUAAAGACUUUAAAAUGCAUAAAAGUGUGAAGAAUUCACAGGAAAGUCUACGAACUUAUUACAGAUUGAAGGAGGGUUUACCUGUGCUUCUACCAACUUAUCGAAGAUCGCAGGAGGGUUUACAUGUGCCUCUAGCUUCUUAUUGGUGGAUUAAAGACUUUAAAAUGCAUAAAAGUGUGAAGAAUUUACAGGAAAGUCUACGAACUCAUUACAAAUUGAAGGAGGAUUUACAUGUGUUUCUACCAACUUAUCGAAGAUCGCAGGAGAGUUUACAUGUGCCUCUAGCUUCUUAUUGGUGGAUUAAAGACUUUAAAAUACGUGAAAAUGUAAAGAAUCUGUAGACAAGUUUAUAUGUGCUUUGGAAAGAAUUUAGUGGCAAGUUUACAUGUGCCUCUACGAACUCAUUGCAGAUCACAAGGGGGUUUACAUGUUCCUCUAGCUUCUUAUUGGUGGAUUAAAGACUUUGAAAUACGUGAAAAUGAAAAUAAUCUGUAGACAAGUUUAAAUGUGCUUUGGAAAGAAUCAAGUUUACACGUGCCUCUACGAACUUGAGGUUGCAAGGGGGUUUACAUGUGCCUCUAGAAACUUUUUGGUUAAUUGAAUACUUUGAAAUACAUAAAAGUGAAAAGAAUUUACAGGCAUAUGUGCCUCUAAAAUAACGUAGGUGAAUUGAAGACUUUAAAAUACAUAAAAGUGGAAAAAUCUAUAGGAAAGUUCUCUAUUUUCCUCUACGAAUUCAUUGCAUAUCGCAAGGGGAUUUACAUGUGAAUCUAGCAACGUAUUGGUGUAUUGAAGACUUCAAAAAUUCAUAAAAUUGGAAAUAAUUUGAAGGCAAGUUCAUUUCUGCCUCUACGAAUUUAUUGAAGAUUGUAUGUGGGUUUUACAUGUGGCAUUACAUCUACUUACUGAUGAAUUAAAUACUUUGAAAUAGGCAACAUGAAAGUGUAAAGAAUAUACAGGCAAGUUAACGUGUGCCUCUACGAACUAAUAUUGUAAAUCGCAGGAGAGUUUACAUGUGGCUCUACCGACUUACUGGUGAAUUGAAGACUUUGGAGAAUAAAAUGAGACUCAGUGGCUAGUGAAACUUUAUCACCUCAUUAAAAGUAAGUCUUUAAUAAAAUGUAAAAGCGAAUAAAAUGAAUAAUGAGGAGAAUAAAAUGAGACUCAGUGGCUAGUGAAACUUUAUCACCUCAUUAAAAGUAAGUCUUUAAUAAAAUGUAAAAGCGAAUAAAAUGAAUAAUGAGGAGAAUAAAAUGAGACUCAGUGGCUAGUGAAACUUUAUCACCUCAUUAAAAGUAAGUCUUUAAUAAAAUGUAAAAGCUAAUAAAAUGAAAAAUGAGGAGAAUAAAAUGAGACUCAGAGGCUAGUGAAACUUUAUUAAUUAAUGGAAGACGUUGAAAUAUAUAAAAUUGGGAAAAUUUAGUAGCACCUGGAACAUCGCAACACAAUUUUAUUAAUAAAUUGAAGAAUUUGAAAUUGAUAGAAGUGAAAAAAUAAUGGCAAAUGAAACAUCGCACGAUAAGUGGAGAUCGCGUAAGUGUUUAGACAUGCCUCUUGUAACUGCUUUGUAAAUGCAAUUAGAGAGUGAGACUUUAUAAUUAUGUUUACUGUGUAAGGGCGAGACAGGUUAGAUUAAUUUUCCUUAAUUUUAAUUAGUUCUAAAUGUACUGCGAAUGAAGAAAUAUUGUCAGAGUGAGUCCUCAUCAUUCUUCAAUGAAUAUUUUGAUUUGAAUGCAUAAAAUGCGAACUCUUAAAAGUCACAUGAUUUUUUCCAAAUAAGUUGAAGAAUAAGCUGAUACAAUUUUGGCAUCUAUAACUACUUUUUUAAACGUUAUCCAUAACAAACUGUUUUGUUUAAGUUUCUGUAAUUUAUCUUGUAUUUGAUCAGUGCCAUGCACACCUGACUUACUAGCUUCAGAAAUUAUGGAAAAUCAAUUUUUGGGAAUAAAUUAAUCAUUUUUAAUGCAAUAAUUGCCAUCUGUAAAUCUAAUUUCAUCAAAAUGGAUCCAAACUCCGAUGAAGAAUCCAAUGAGUUAGUUGUUACUAGUGUGUAAUAAAACAUGGUUAUUCGUCUUCAAAACUUCCUACUGUAUAUAACUCGAAUGAAAUUGGUAGUAAGCUUGUAAAACGCAAUAAAGUCUGUGGAAUAAAAAUACUAAUAACUACCUAUAACAUAUAAUUACUGUUUUUUUUUUCAAUAGUUUGAUGAUUCUACAGGUAGGCUUUAAAAUAGUGAAAAAUGUAGCUUUAAUCUAUUACUAUUUUUGUACAUUUUUUCACUAAACGUUCAGUUCUCCAAUGCCUUAUUUUGUGCACCAUCUUUGAUAUUACAAGAUAUUUUAUUAGAACGUCAUGAUCGUUGUAUUGAUUUAAAAUCUUGAACGCUAGAGGAAU
rnacentral:lncRNA from 1 species